GAUUAAGUUAUUAAGGGCGCACGGUGGAUGCCUUGGCACUAGAAGCCGAUGAAGGACGUUACUAACGACGAUAUGCUUUGGGGAGCUGUAAGUAAGCUUUGAUCCAGAGAUUUCCGAAUGGGGAAACCCAGCAUGAGUUAUGUCAUGUUAUCGAUAUGUGAAUACAUAGCAUAUCAGAAGGCACACCCGGAGAACUGAAACAUCUUAGUACCCGGAGGAAGAGAAAGAAAAUUCGAUUCCCUUAGUAGCGGCGAGCGAAACGGGAAGAGCCCAAACCAACAAGCUUGCUUGUUGGGGUUGUAGGACACUCUAUACGGAGUUACAAAGGACGACAUUAGACGAAUCAUCUGGAAAGAUGAAUCAAAGAAGGUAAUAAUCCUGUAGUCGAAAAUGUUGUCUCUCUUGAGUGGAUCCUGAGUACGACGGAGCACGUGAAAUUCCGUCGGAAUCUGGGAGGACCAUCUCCUAAGGCUAAAUACUCUCUAGUGACCGAUAGUGAACCAGUACCGUGAGGGAAAGGUGAAAAGCACCCCGGAAGGGGAGUGAAAUAGAACCUGAAACCGUGUGCUUACAAGUAGUCAGAGCCCGUUAAUGGGUGAUGGCGUGCCUUUUGUAGAAUGAACCGGCGAGUUACGAUUUGAUGCAAGGUUAAGCAGUAAAUGUGGAGCCGUAGCGAAAGCGAGUCUGAAUAGGGCGUUUAGUAUUUGGUCGUAGACCCGAAACCAGGUGAUCUACCCUUGGUCAGGUUGAAGUUCAGGUAACACUGAAUGGAGGACCGAACCGACUUACGUUGAAAAGUGAGCGGAUGAACUGAGGGUAGCGGAGAAAUUCCAAUCGAACCUGGAGAUAGCUGGUUCUCUCCGAAAUAGCUUUAGGGCUAGCCUCAAGUGAUGAUUAUUGGAGGUAGAGCACUGUUUGGACGAGGGGCCCCUCUCGGGUUACCGAAUUCAGACAAACUCCGAAUGCCAAUUAAUUUAACUUGGGAGUCAGAACAUGGGUGAUAAGGUCCGUGUUCGAAAGGGAAACAGCCCAGACCACCAGCUAAGGUCCCAAAAUAUAUGUUAAGUGGAAAAGGAUGUGGCGUUGCCCAGACAACUAGGAUGUUGGCUUAGAAGCAGCCAUCAUUUAAAGAGUGCGUAAUAGCUCACUAGUCGAGUGACACUGCGCCGAAAAUGUACCGGGGCUAAACAUAUUACCGAAGCUGUGGAUUGUCCUUUGGACAAUGGUAGGAGAGCGUUCUAAGGGCGUUGAAGCAUGAUCGUAAGGACAUGUGGAGCGCUUAGAAGUGAGAAUGCCGGUGUGAGUAGCGAAAGACGGGUGAGAAUCCCGUCCACCGAUUGACUAAGGUUUCCAGAGGAAGGCUCGUCCGCUCUGGGUUAGUCGGGUCCUAAGCUGAGGCCGACAGGCGUAGGCGAUGGAUAACAGGUUGAUAUUCCUGUACCACCUAUAAUCGUUUUAAUCGAUGGGGGGACGCAGUAGGAUAGGCGAAGCGUGCGAUUGGAUUGCACGUCUAAGCAGUAAGGCUGAGUAUUAGGCAAAUCCGGUACUCAUUAAGGCUGAGCUGUGAUGGGGAGAAGACAUUGUGUCUUCGAGUCGUUGAUUUCACACUGCCGAGAAAAGCCUCUAGAUAGAAAAUAGGUGCCCGUACCGCAAACCGACACAGGUAGUCAAGAUGAGAAUUCUAAGGUGAGCGAGCGAACUCUCGUUAAGGAACUCGGCAAAAUGACCCCGUAACUUCGGGAGAAGGGGUGCUCUUUA
rnacentral:rRNA from 1 species